rnacentral:lncRNA from 1 species
GGCAAGAUGAUAGCAACCGGAUCUGCAAAAUAAGUUUCUGAUCGGAAUUGACUUCGGUAGGGACCCUUUGAUGCUCAAGUAAGAAAUCAGUAGAACAGAAGGGAAGGAGCACACGAGAGGAGAAUAAUGCAUACCUUAAUGGUCCCUUGGUCAUUUCUUAUUUAUAGAUUGAUGUGAGAGCCAUAAAAGGAAAGAGCUAA